UGCGCAGGCGGUUGUAUAAGUCAGAUGUGAAAUCCCCGGGCUCAACCUGGGAACUGCAUUUGAGACUGUACGGCUAGAGUGUAGCAGAGGGGGGUAGAAUUCCACGUGUAGCAGUGAAAUGCGUAGAGAUGUGGAGGAAUACCGAUGGCGAAGGCAGCCCCCUGGGUUACUACUGACGCUCAUGCACGAAAGCGUGGGGAGCAAACAGGAUUAGAUACCCUGGUAGUCCACGCCCUAAACGAUGUCAACUAGAUGUUGGAAGGGUUAAACCUUUUAGUGUCGUAGCUAACGCGUGAAGUUGACCGCCUGGGGAGUACGGCCGCAAGGCUAAA
rnacentral:rRNA from 1 species